rnacentral:pre_miRNA from 1 species
ACAACAUUCGGACCGUCAGUCUACCGAGCAAUAUCACCCACUCGGUGGAAAAUCUUUCUUUCGUUGU